rnacentral:rRNA from 1 species
GACGAACGCUGGCGGCGUGCUUAACACAUGCAAGUCGAACGGAAAGGCCCUGCUUGCAGGGUACUCGAGUGGCGAACGGGUGAGUAACACGUGGGUGAUCUGCCCUGCACUUCGGGAUAAGCUUGGGAAUCUGGGCCUAAUACCGAUUAGGAACCAGCUUGAGUGUGGUGGUUGGAAAGUUUUUUCGCUGUAGGAUGAGCUUGCGGCGUAUCAGCUCGUUGGUGGGGUAAUGGCCUACCAAGGCGGCGACGGGUAGCCGGCCUGAGAGGGUGUACGGCCAGUUCGGACUUGUGAUGCGGCCCAGACUCCGACAGGAGGGAGCAGUGGCGAAUGUCGGACAAAGGGCGCAAGCGUGAUGCAGGGACGCCGCGUGAUGGAUGAAGGCCUUCGGGUGGUAGACUCCUUUGUCUGUGGACGAAGCUUUGUUUUGACGGUACCUAGAUAAGAAGCACCGGCUAACUACGUG